rnacentral:sRNA from 1 species
CAAUAGCCCCGAUAGUAGCGGCAUCCUUUUUUGCUAAGGGAAAGCCAUGGCAAAAAAAGAUAUAGCGGAUAGCGGGAUCAAGC